UGGGGAAUAUUGCACAAUGGGGGGAACCCUGAUGCAGCGAUGCCGCGUGGAGGAAGAAGGUUUUCGGAUUGUAAACUCCUUUUAACGGGGACGAUAAUGACGGUACCCGCAGAAAAAGCUCCGGCUAACUACGUGCCAGCAGCCGCGGUAAUACGUAGGGAGCGAGCGUUGUCCGGAAUUACUGGGUGUAAAGGGAGCGUAGGCGGGACUGCAAGUCAGAUGUGAAAACUAUGGGCUCAACCUGUAGAUUGCAUUUGAAACUGUGGUUCUUGAGUGAAGUAGAGGUAAGCGGAAUUCCUAGUGUAGCGGUGAAAUGCGUAGAUAUUAGGAGGAACAUCGGUGGCGAAGGCGGCUUACUGGGCUUUUACUGACGCUGAGGCUCGAAAGCGUGGGGAGCAAACAGG
rnacentral:rRNA from 1 species